GUUUUAUUUCUUGCGUGUUUCUGAUUAGUUGAUUACUUAAUUUGAAUUGUGAAAUUAUAGGGUACGCAUUUAGGUGUUUUUUGUUAUCGAGUCACUUUGCCAAGUCUUGGAAACCAAAGUUGCUUGAAAUUUGCGGUGGGUUGUUGUCGUUCUCAGUCUGGAUCAUUUAUAUGUUUUAUCAGCUGCGAAAAAGUCUUUCCAUGUGUGUGUGUCUGUGUGUGGAAGUAUUGAUAGCAUAGAAACGGUCAAACCUCACAGAAGGGUUCUAGAAGAGCCUAAAACAAGAGUUCAGGAAGCUGAAGUGUGUGAUGUUAGACUUUAGAUGUUUAGAAACUGCGGUUUCGAGGAGCAAGAGGGAAUACGUAGAUUGGUAGGUUGAUACUGUUGAGUACUUGCAUUUGUUAGUUGGCUAUUGUGUCCCUUAUGAUUUUAGAUUAUUAACGUAUGUUUGUUGUGUCUCAACUUUGUUUUGUUUCGUUGUUUUUUCUGCCUCCUAAGUUGUGUCAACUUGUUAGGGACAACAUUUGCUUAUAGGUCAAUUAUAACCUAAGAAGCUAUAAGAAUUAAGAUUUUUGAGAAGCUCUGUAAAUCGUUUUGGUUCUGCUUAUGCUUUUAUCACAAUAUAGGCUAGAAAUAACACCCACUGGGUCUUAAUUAAAUUAUUCAUAUCGAAUUUGACACUGGUGACGGCUGGUCAUUAUCCUUAUUAUUCUGAGGCAUUAGGACUCAUGGUGUCUAUUUCAGUUGAACUUUUAAGCUUAGGUUUGGGGGGAUCUUAAUUUAUUAAUCUUUUUUUUGACUAGGAGAGAAAUUUAAUUUGUUUAUCAUAGAUUGAAUACCUAUUGCAUGGGAAGAUCAAGAGCAAAUGCGUGGAUUAAUUAGUUGAUAAUGUUGACUACUCAUACUAGUCAGGUGGCUAAAUUUCUCUCUUGUCAAGUUCUCUUAUGGGAAUUAACAUGCACUUUUCUAUCCUUAAGAAGUAAUUUUCUCCUCUUAUUAGGUCUAUGAGGUCUAUGUUGUACUGGUCUUAGCGCCUGGAAAACUAGCAGAUAUAGGUCAUUUAAGUGUGAUUUUAAUUAGCUUUACUGCAUAUGGUAAUCAUCAAUUUUGUCCUACAUCUAGGUUCUCUAACUUCUCUUAGGCCAUGUGAGAGUUUCUUUCCCUAUUUCACUUCCUUGAGCCGAUUACUUAAUCUACAGUCAACCUUUGCUUUUAGUUAUUAGAUCCAUGGGAAUGAUAUUGGUAGGGAACUUGGGAUCGUCUCUCUUCCUUAAAGAUUGCCUUUAGUCAUAUUUAAAGGGAAAAUUCACAAGCGCAUCUGAUUUAAAGCUGUGGCUUUUAAUAAAGAAGGGGAAUGACAGUUACUAUAUCUAGGAACUUAUCCUUUUCUUUCCUCAUAGAGGCGGGUGGGCAGAACCUCAUUUAAAGGAGACCAGAAUUGCCCAAACUCAUGAUGUAUCCACUUUUGUUUGUAAUGUACUCCUUUAAUCCUUAUCUAACUAAGAUGUUAUCAAUGAUCUAAGGAGAGAAAGAUUAGCCAAAAAAAGAGACCAAACACCCUUAGUAAAUAAAAGAUGUGUAGCAUAGUGAGGGAUCCCUGGUAGUGGGAGCUUGAACCUAUCUAUUUCGAUUGGGAGAGCUAUCCAAUUCAGGGGUGGGCCAGUAAUACUGAUGAGCGGGCUAAAAAACACGUGUUAAUAAUCAUGGGAGUAAUUGCUUUUUAUAUAUUUAACAUGUUUAAGUCUUCAUCAAUAUAUAAGAUAUGAAUUUGAUUAAAAAAGACACCGAUGACUUGUCAUAUUGAAAAGUAAUGCACAAUAGCCUCAUAAGGAUUAGUCCUAAAUACAAUCUUCCCGAUAUAAAAAUAUAUCUAUCGUUCAUCUGUCCAUUCCUCGUUGGACUACAUGCCAGUUCUACACAAGUUUGGCUGUCAAAAUAAUUUCCUUUAUAAUUUGAUGGGUGCUUAGGGCAAUUUGAUGAGUUUUAUAGCUAGCUUGGGGCAAUAUUACAAUUCUAAUGGGGCAAAUUUGUAAAGCAAACAGCAAAUAUGGUAGUGGAAUAGAGAUUUUGGAAACUUCAGUGGGGUCAAGUGACCCCACAUACUCCUUCCCUCUGCCCUUGCUAUCCAUAGUCUACAUGGAGCGGGUUAAGGUUGCCUUUUUUUUUGACAAACAAAUAUGGGUUUUUUUUUUACGAAUGGUCCUCAAAGUAUUAGUGAAAUGUCAAUUUGGUCCUCAAAAUAUAAAUCGCGUCUAUUGCAUCCUCAAUGUUUACAAUGCACAUUUAAAUGGUCCCUGAGACUAACUCCGUCUAUAUUUACCGUCCAGUGCGAGGGUAUACUUGUAACUUCGUCUUAAAAAAUUCCGAUACCCAAAAUCCAGAUAAGUUUUGAACAAAAGUAAAACCCAAAAAAAUUCAAGGACAUCGAAACAAAAACUAAUCAAAUGCAGUAAGACCAAUCACAAGUUCUCCUAUAUCUGCAUAAACAAAGAAACACAACCACCUAUAUACAAAUCAAGCCAGAUUCAACCAAAUUCCCGAACUGUCAACUGAGGCUAGACUCAACAUCGAUUUAACCCAUAAAAAAUCAACGCUAAAAAAAUUGGUCGAAACAAUUUUGUGGGUCUAUAUACCUGUUUCAGCUCAAAUCAAUCGAAGAUGUACGAUGGCCGUUGGUUUCGGGCGAGACCUAGUUGGAAGAAUCAGGGAAUUUUUGUAGAGAGAAGAGAAGAAGAGAGAACGGUCAUGGUUUUUGGAUAGGGCCGCAAAUCUGUUGGGAUAAGCGGGUUCCAUUCCAAGAGCAGAGGAGAAUGAUGGUGGAGUGCGACCGUGGGGCCCACUCUAGGAAAAAUCCCUCUCUCCCUCUCUGUAACACUUCAUCGUGAGCCGGCCGCCACAACCGGCGACGCCAUCGUACAGGUGAGGACAUGAAGAUCUACGAGCUAAGGGGAGGAGACGGCAGAAAUGUUUGGGGUUGUUUUCGGUGUUUCAGAUUCAGGGGUUUUCCAUUUGGCUGAUAUCGAGGCGGUUUCAUAAUCAAUUUGCGGUUCGGCGAUUGAUUUCAAGUUGAAUUCAUUUUGAGUGAUCCACGGCGGUUCUGACUGCGGCAAGGCGGUUCUACUUGACCUAGAUUUUCCACACUCCUUUGCAGAUGAAGAAGAUAAUGAAUGUUGGGUACUUUUUUUUUUUUUGAUUGUAAGGUGGGGUGAUGGGUUGUGUAAAUAUAAAGUUAUGAGUAUACCCUCCCACUGGACGGUAAAUAUAGAUGGAGUUAAUUUCAAGGACCAUUUAAAUGUACAUUCUAAACGUUGGGGAUGCAAUAGACGCGAUUUGUAUAUUGGGGACCAAAUUGACAUUUCGCUAAUAUUUUGAGGACCAUUCGUAAAAAAAGCCCACAAAUAUGACACAAUAUGAUAGCAUGGGUAAUAAAUUGGUCAUCGUUAAACCCGAAUAACUUGAACUAGACACCUGUAGACAACCGAUGACAACCAAUUUGAACUCCGUAUGAUUUUUCAAGAAAUUUCUUGGAUGUCUCUCCGAUGAUGAAAAUGGAGCCUAGAAAAUAACAUUGAUUAAUAAUCAAAUCUCUUUGCUGUAAGGAAGUUUUCUGGAGAAAAAAUUCCUUCAAAACAAAUAGAAGAGACAUACAUAACCUCUGGCUUCGUCAAAUUCAAAUUGAUGUAGGCCAAAAUCUGCAAGGUUAGGAGAGUGUCGGGAUGCUGCUCGACGGGGGCUAGUGGAUGCCACUCAACAACCAAGCCACUCGCUGCGACCAAGCCACUUGCUUGAUUGUAGGUGGAAUCACUCACUCCAAGCAAGACACACUUGCAAAUAAUUCAAUAAUCAACUCAACUCCCCUUCUUGGUUCUUUAGAUUACCUAUUUAUAGGCAUUACAAAGAUGAUGCUUCCAAGAUCUAGAUAAUUUCCAACAAGAGCUUUCCAAAUACGUAGACCACUAUUAAAACAAAGACACAACUUUCUAGAUAGUCAAACUCAACUUUAAAACUACAAUUACUAGGCUGUAGCCUGUAGCUAAUUCCCACACAUAAAAAAUACUUUGACUAGAAACUUGACAGACUCAGUUGGCUAAAAGCGAAAAAUGCAUUUCUAAACGUAAUCAAAAUACGCCUAGGUUCCACAUUACCAUUGUUAUGCUCAUGUAUCACAAACUGGCUGCAAACUGUAUGCUAAGUCAACUUUAUUGUUAUGAAAGUCAAACAUGGCGUACGCCACCAUCAACGUGCCGCACCACCUUCAACAUGACGCUAGGUUUGACAAGAAACGGUCUUUUUACUUGGCAGAAUGCAAAUGGGGUGUCAGCUCCUCGAUCUAAGGCCAUGCUGAGCAUGUCCACCAAUUGGAGAAAACCCCAUUUGCCUAUUAACAAGACCCUUGGCCUUUGGCAUAAGGGUCCCAUUUUGGCUAGAUCUUGGGAGGUUUUAGAGAGUGAAAGUCAUGAAAUCUAGAGAGAGAAAGUCCAAAUCUUUUGAAAAUGCAGGCACAAGCACUUAAGCAAGAGUGACAAUACUUAGUUAUAGACCUGAAAAAAGGUAGAGAAAAGCUUGAAUACUUGAAAAGUAGAAGUGUGAGAGCAGUAUCUGGACCAGUGUCAAUCUUCCAUACUGCAUUUAUGAGCCUUGGACAGAUUUUGAAAAUUAGAAAGAAGAAUCCAAUCUUCUGCAGGAACCAAUACUUUGUGUACGCAAGCACAGAUCCUUGCAUACGCAAGUUUACCGCAUGUGUACAAGUUGCAACCUUACAGACACCAAGUGAUGUCUCUGUUACAGUCUUUCUUUUGUCUGCGUAUCUGCAUGUAAAUAAAAGCUGACUUAGCGUACGCAAGCUUGCUCCUUGAGUAUGCCUGGUCUAACCAUGUGUACGCAAGACUGACACCUGUGUUUUCUGUCGCAUUUUAUGCUUUAUGCUCAUCCUGCUAUUGGGUACAUUGGUUGCUUACUGUCUAUGAGAGCAUGCAAAGAGAGACUUUUUUGUGCGCUCGAAUCAUACGUUUAGUCUGACCUGGCAUGUCCGCCAUUAAUCCUUGUGUGGGCAAUGUCUUGUUCUGUGACAGUUUAUCUAUUUCUGUGUAUUCUCUAUUUAGUUUGUUUAGGUUGCUGUCUGGCCUAUUUGUUACUGUUUAAUGAGAAAACAUGUUUAUUUGUUAUUGCUUUUAUAUUCCCUUUGCAUAUCCCCUCCCUAUUUGUUUAGUUAUACAAAGACAAAAACAACUGUAACAUCCCUGAAGUGGUUAGUAGAGAAUAACUGAGAAGUUAGGCGGGAACGGAUGCCUAACACCUUCCUAUCCCGUAAUUAGCUCCCGAGUCUAGUAAUCUAUGGUGAUGAUGGACUACUAGUCUUUGCUUUUCUUGUAUUUGCCUGAUUGCUCAGGAUAGCCUUAAACCCGAGUGGCACGUAUGUUUAAUAAAAUGAUCGAUGACUUUUAGACGAGGAGCCUACAGCCGUGACUCCGCUGGAGAUUGGUAUGAGCUAGACUCAAAAGACACAUGAGAUUUUAUGUUUAGUUUGAUCUCAAUUUGUUGCAUUGCUUGUGCAUUGAUGUUGGAUAACCCCGUUCAGCACUAUCAGAUAUCUCAAAAAGUUACUGGACUUGGGCAUUUUUGAGAGGCCAAUCGCACCACUUGACCGUUCCUUUGCACUACUACUGGCAGCUGGAGGUGUAUCUUGACUCUAGUAGAAGGUGUACCCUUGAGACAACCAGAUUCCAGCAUAAUAGAAAACCAUAGGACUUUCAAAAUUAGGACAAAAUACCUGUAGGAUCACGUGUCAUCUAGCCCUGUUAAAACCAUUUAUGUGGCAACACGCUACGCGUUUUGUUUUAGGUGCAUUCAUCAUUGGAGUCUGGGUUUGAGAAAAAAGGAGGAAAUAUGCCUAAGAGUUUUAUGCUUUGUUUGGUUUGUGUGAUUUGAGUAGUGUUUUUGGAUAAUGAGUGCAGGGCCGGCCCCGAUGUUUGGAUUGACCAAGCCCGACUUCAAGCUUGGUUGCCCAAAUACUAUUAAAUCAUUAAAAACCAAAAAAAAAAAAAACAUACAAGUAAAAAAAAUCAACUUUACAUGUGAUUUUAGCUUGAAUUGCAUGAAAAAGUAAAAUGUAAUUUCGGUUAUAUUGCUUUAUGAUUACCACAAUCUGAUUUAAAGAAACUUCAUCUUGCAUUUAAGUAAAAUCUUCAACUAAGUUAUUGUACAUUAGCUUAAUCAUGUACUUAUUUUCAAUUGAGCUCAUAACCAAUCCACUUAAUCUCUCGUGUGACAUAUUAGUCAGAAGGUAAAUUUUUAUGUGAUUUCAACUAACGAAAACUGCUCUCCGCCGAAAUAACUGUUUUUACAAAUCUUUUAGCAAAAAAGCCUACUAUAUAAAGUUAAAAUUAAGCAAGUAAUAUUUAUCAAGAUAGACAUUUAAUGUCUAUAUUAGUUAUUGUAAUCAAAAGAAAUAUGAAAGUAAAACAGUUUGACCAAAACAAAAAAAAGAUAUAUUACAACAAAGUUUAUUUACUAAAUAAUUAAACCCUUUAACUUUUAAUAGUAGAGGUCACAUGAAAAAAUAAAAGAAAAAGAAG